UGCAAAGACCAAGAUAAUAUGACCUUCACUACUUUGUAGAAGAAUUAAAUCAUAGGAUUGCACUGUGUCGCACAAGUCUUCCAGGUCAUAUUUGUUACGUUAUUUGUUGCAAGUCAUAACAUUGCAAGAAAGCAAACUGUGUAGCACAGAAGUUCAGAGUAUGGAACAAGCUGUGACCCACUUUUCACCAACAGUGCAGACUCAUAUGUCCUUGGUAAUUAUAGCAAGAGGAAGAAGUGCAUGUGUGUCUCACCUCACAGCUCUUAGGAGGCAGAGCUUGGCUUCUACCUGGCAGCUGCAGGAGUCUUGAAGAAAAGGCUUGAGGCCACCCAGCUGAGCAGAUGUGAGGCAGCAGCUGGGGAGGGCUGUUCCCAACAGCUGCAAUCGUUAGCCGUUACAGAGCAAUAGGGACAUAGCUCCAUCACUGUGGUGGAUCCCACUGCAUGCCUUCUGCUCCCUUCCCAGGAAUGAUUUCUUAUAUCCCACUGGUCAGCCUCAGUCUUUUACUUCACUAAUUACUUAUCUGCGAGUCCUUCUGCAAUCCCACUCUGGGAGUAAUGGUC
rnacentral:lncRNA from 1 species